rnacentral:rRNA from 1 species
AUUGAACGCUGGCGGCAGGCCUAACACAUGCAAGUCGGGCGAGUGGCGGACGGGUGAGUAAUGUCUGGGGGACUGCCUGAUGGAGGGGGAUAACUACUGGAAACGGUAGCUAAUACCGCAUACCAUCAGAUGUGCCCAUAUUGGAUUAGCUAGUAGGUGGGGUAACGGCUCACCUAGGCGACGAUCCCUAGCUGGUCUGAGAGGAUGACCAGACACACUGGGACUGAGACACGGUCCAGACUCCUACGGGAGGCAGCAGUGGGGAAUAUUGCACAAUGGGCGCAAGCCUGAUGCAGCCAUGCCGCGUGUAUUAAGAAGGCCUUCGGGUUGUAAAGUACUUUCAGUCGGGAGGCGUUACCGGCAGAAGAAGCACCGGCUAACUCCGUGCCAGCAGCCGCGGUAAUAC